AUGAGGUCAUGCAUCAUAUUACAUAAUAUGAUUGUUGAGGAUGAACGAGAUUCAUAUUCUCAACGUUGGACCGAUUUUGAGCAAUCUGGGGAAAGUGGAUCUAGUGCACCACAACCAUACUCGACCGAGGUGUUACCCGCUUUUGCAAAUCAUGUGCGUGCUAGAUCAGAGUUCCGUGAUCCAAAUGUUCAUCAAGAAUUGCAAGCCGAUCUAGUGAAGCACAUAUGGACAAAGUUUGGAAUGUUCCGUGAUUGA
rnacentral:lncRNA from 1 species